rnacentral:sRNA from 7 species
AUAUCUCUCCGUACGGGAAGGAUGAGAAGCUUCGACUAAGGUUCGAUUCGAGCGCAGCGAGAACGCGUUGCCGCAGGCAACGACCCGAAGGGCGAAGC